AAGGAUCAUUAACGAAUCGAACAAGAGCGCCCCCUCGGCUGAUGCUGGCCCCUCGGGGCACGUGCACGCCUUGGGGCGCCUCUUCCAUUCGCCUUCCCCCCCUUGUGCACUCCAUGUAGGUCGUCGUCGGCGGUCCCCUCCGCCCUUGGCGCCUACGAUUUUCGUCUUUGUACGCACCCCGAUCGCAUGUCUUUAUUAUCGUUGAUAACACAACACGAAAUACAACUUUCAACAACGGAUCUCUUGGCUCUC
rnacentral:misc_RNA from 1 species